CGAUGGCGGCGGUAGAGGAGAUGGCGGAGGAUUGGGAUCAGGCGGUGGGCUCGGCGAUGGUGGCGGUGGAGGAGAUGGCGGAGAUGGCGGAGGAUUGGGAUUAGGCGGUGGGCUCGGCGAUGGUGGCGGUGGAGGAGGUGGCGGAGAUGGCGGAGGAUUGGGAUUAGGUGGUGGGCUCGGCGAUGGCGGCGGUGGAGGAGGUGGCGGAGAUGGCGGAGGAUUGGGAUUAGGCGGUGGGCUCGGCGAUGGUGGCGGUGGAGGAGAUGGCGGAGAUGGCGGAGGAUUGGGAUUAGGCGGUGGGCUGGGCGAUGGUGGCGGUGGAGGAGAUGGCGGAGAUGGCGGAGGAUUGGGAUUAGGCGGUGGGCUCGGCGAUGGUGGCGGUGGAGGAGAUGGCGGAGAUGGCGGAGGAUUGGGAUUAGGCGGUGGGCUCGGCGAUGGUGGCGGUGGAGGAGAUGGCGGAGAUGGCGGAGGAUUGGGAUAG
rnacentral:lncRNA from 1 species